ACGGAGGGUGCAAGCGUUAUUCGGAAUCACUGGGCGUAAAGCGCACGUAGGCCGCUUUGUAAGUCAGGGGUGAAAUCCCACGGCUCAACCGUGGAACUGCCCUUGAAACUGCGAAGCUCGAAUCCUGGAGAGGGUGGCGGAAUUCCUGGUGUAGGAGUGAAAUCCGUAGAUAUCAGGAGGAACAGCGGUGGCGAGGGCGGCCACCUGGACAGGUAUUGACGCUGAGGUACGAAAAUGUGGGGAGCAAACAG
rnacentral:rRNA from 1 species